ensembl:lncRNA
GCGAGCGCGGACGGCGGCCUGGGCGGUGCAGGCCUGAGCGGCCGCAGCCUCGGACGCACUAACCUGAACGGCGCCCUGCCACUCAGCUUCCCGAGAAACAGCAAAUGACAGAGCAGAGGACAGCUGGCCCCAGCCAAACCUGUUGCUGCUGCAGUGCUUGUUAUGUCAGGAUAGUGGGGUCUCUGGACCCUUCCCCUCCCUUGCUGAGGCUCCUGGAUGCCCUCCUGCCAGGCUGUACAUUCUGCCUUUAGCCAGGGUGGUGUUGGUGUCAUGGCCCCAACUGCCAUCCAGCAGGGGAAGAAGAAUGCAACAGCCAGAUCAAGGCGUAGAACUCUCAGCUCCUCCAGCACUAUGUCUGCCUGCACACCGCCAUACUUCCCGCCAUGAUGACAAUGGACUACACCUCCAAAACUAGCCCUGGGUUCAUGGAUUCCUGCUGUCAUUUCACGUGGUUGAUGAGAAGUGUCCGUAAAAAGCCAGCAAAAAAGAAAAAAAAAAGGAUCAUCUAGUAUUUUCAUCUUCAUCCUAAGAUACCUCCUUAGACAUGCUCACUCAGAGGUUCUUGCCCAAAUUAUUUCUGCUAACCUUGUCAUUUCUCAUAUUUAAAGGACUGAAUUUCACCAAUACUUACUGCUUGAUGUGAUGGAGGAUAGGUCCAUCCUAUGACCCAGGACUAUACAACUGUUUCGUAGGCAGCAAAGUCUGCCAGAAUAGAUUUAUUUGGUAGCUGCUGAGAUGUUAUAUGGAAUGAUUUUGUAAUGUUAGAGAAAACAGCACUGAGGCAUUUAUUAGCUGUAUGUUCUUCUAGUUUCAUAGUGUGACCAUUCUAGUCAUGAUCUGUGUACUGAUUUAGGAGGCUGAUACUGCUCUGGAAGUCUGCUAGAAGAACAUUCUGGAAGAGGUAGCCAUGGUAGCUAGAGUAGCCAGCUUACUCCUUUAAAGCACGUAUACAUGAAUGAAUAGAUGCAUACAUAUACACAGUCAGACAAAGUUGCAUGUAUUUGAGGGGAUGCUGGUAUUCCAGUACAUGUAUAUAAUGUGUGAUGGUCAACUCAGGAUUAUUGACAUAUCUCUUCAGAUAUAACUUCUUUAUGUUGAAACAUUCAAAAUCCUGUUGUUUUUUGAGAUAUAGCACAGACUGGCCUACAACUUGUGAUUCUCCUGUCUCAGUCUCCUGAGUGCUGGCAUUGUGGGCCUGCAUGUACCAUGCCUGGUUUAUUUCUAGUUUUUUGUUUGUUUGUUUGUCUGUUUCAUUUUUAAGGAACCUGAAUAUAGUUUUCUACCAUACUAAUUAACAGUUCUACAAACAGUAUGACAGAGUUACCUUUUCACUUUAUCUUUCCUAGCAUUUACUACUACUACUACUACUACUACUACUACUACUACUACUACUACUACUACUAUUAUUUUGUGCUUUUGAUAAUAUCCACUCUCAUUAGGUUGAGAUGAUAUUCCACUGUAGUUUUGGUUUAUAUUUCUCUGAUGAUCAGUGAUGUUGAGCAAUGUCUCAAAUACUUGGCUAUUUGUCUUCUUUAAAGAGAUGUUUGUUUAGGUCAUUUGCCCAUUUUAAAUCAGAUUAUUUGUUUUCUGAUGUUGAGCUGUUUGAGUUCUUUAUAUGUUCUGGAUGUUGAUCCUGGCAGGUAAAUAGUUUGCCAACAUUUUCUCAAGUUCUGCGGUUGUCUUUUCAUGCUUGCUUUCUUUUCUGUGCAGAAGUUUCUUCAAUACUUUGUCUUCAGCCAUCUCUCUUAAAGAGAAGCGGUACCUCUUUCUUGCAUUCUUUUGUUCACCAUGUGAUUCAGGUACAUACGCAAACAUCCUGGAAGGGCCAUUCACCACUGUGUUUAUAC